UGAGAUAAGAGGCUGCAGUCCAAGU
rnacentral:piRNA from 1 species